GACGAACCGUGCAAACGUUGUUCGGAUUCACUGGGCUUAAAGGGCGCGUAGGCGGGCCAUCAAGUCAGGGGUGAAAUCUUUCGGCUCAACCGGAAAAGUGCCUUUGAUACUGGUGGUCUCGAGGGAGGUAGGGGCAUGCGGAACUUCCGGUGGAGCGGUGAAAUUCGUAGAUAUUGGGAGGAACACCGGUGGCGAAGGCGGGUCUCUGGGCCGAUACUGACGCUGAGGAGCGAAAGCGUGGGGAGCGAACAGG
rnacentral:rRNA from 1 species